GACCAAGAAGUCUAACAUGUGUGCGAGUCAUUGGGUAUAUUGUUGAAACCUAAGGGCGCAAUUAAAAUAACUAUUUUAUGGGAUUACAAGUGAAUGAAAUUUCAUUUCUUCAUCCCGGGGCGUUCUAUACGAACAUGGUGCAAGCAAUUGAACCCUCUGUUCAAGAGCGUACCUUGAGCAUACAUGCUGUGACCCGAAAGAUGGUGAACUAUACCUGAUCAGAUCGAAGCCAGGAGAAAUUCUGGUGGAGGAUCGAAACAGUUCUGACGUGCAAAUCGAUUGUCAGAAUUGGGUAUAGGGGCGAAAGACCAAUCGAACCAUCUAGUAGCUGGUUCCCUCCGAAGUUUCCCUCAGGAUAGCUGGCGCAACGAAUUAUAUUAUAUAUAAUCUUAUCUGGUAAAGCGAAUGAUUAGAGGCCUUGGGGCCGAAACGACCUCAACCUAUUCUCAAACUUUAAAUGGGUAAGAACCUCAUCUUUCUUGAUCUGAAGAUAUUGGGGUUUAGAUAUAUUGUGCCCAGUGGGCCACUUUUGGUAAGCAGAACUGGCGCUGUGGGAUGAACCAAACAUGAUGUUACGGCGCCUAAAUUAAUGACUCAUAUUGAUACCAUGAAAGGCGUUGGUUGCUUAAAACAGCAGGACGGUGGACAUGGAAGUCGUAAUCCGCUAAGGAGUGUGUAACAACUCACCUGCCGAAGCAACUAGCCCUUAAAAUGGAUGGCGCUCAAGUCAUAUGCCUAUACAUCAUCGCUAGAAUAAAAAUUGUUGACCAUUCGGCCAUCAAUGUGAAAUUCUAGUGAGUAGGAGGGUACAAUGGUGUGCGCAGAAGUGUUUGGCGUGAGCCUGCAUGAAGCCGCCAUUGGCACAGAUCUUGGUGGUAGUAGCAAAUAAUCGAAUGAGAUCUUGGAGGACUGAAGUGGAGAAGGGUUUCGUGUGAACAGUGGUUGAUCACGAGUUAGUCGGUCCUAAGCUUUAUGCGAAAGCUGUUUAAUUUAUGUUACACACAAAAUUUUUGUUGUACAUAAUUCAAUAAAAGCGAAAGGGAAUACGGUUCCAAUUCCGUAACCUGUUGAGUAUACGUUUGUUUAUUAAAAAUGGGUCUUAUUACACUCAUCCUGGCAACAGGAACGACCAUAGAGAAGCCUUCGAGAGAUACUGGAAGAGUUUUCUUUUCUGCUAAACAAACGUAUCACCAUGGAAGUCUUUUAUAGAGAGAUAUGGUGGAUGGCUUGGAAGAGCAUGACAUUUACUGUUGUGUCAGUAUUUUCUCCUUGGACCUUGAAAAUCUAUGGUGGGGCCACGCAAACUUCUCAACAGACCGUACCGAUAUCCGCAG
rnacentral:rRNA from 1 species